UCUUUGCACGAUGUGAUUGUUAGUUAUAGUGUUAGAUAUGGAAUUGAUUUUUAGGUUCUGACUUCUGAUAGCAUUACAGUAUUACUAUAGGCAUCUAUAGUAUGGAAUUGAUAUCUUCUUGGUUGAAUUACUUGCUAUUUACUCAUGAGAUUUGAAGUGUUGUAUACUAAUGACUGAUUUGAUUGGAAGCUACAGAUUUUGAAAUGAGGUAUUUCUUCCUUUAAAAUGUUUAUCAAUUAUGUUGUUUGAUAAUUAAAAAAAAAAAAGAGUUUUCUAACCCUAAACCCUCUAAUAUCUGAGUAUAUUGUUGAAUCUUUUGGGUGUUUUGUUGAGAUUCAUUUUAGGGUAGAGCUUUUUGUAAUUUAACGAUAACUAUAGAAAUAUUACGGAGUACCAUUGUUUUAUUCUAUUUUGAGCUUAUAAGAGCUGCAUAUUUGACUUUUGGAAUGGGAAUUGAUUUGAAGAACAAAUUUUUUUCAGUUUCAAACCUUAUAAUCCUGUUUCUAUGUUUCCUGUUUGUAUUAUCUGUUACUGCUCCUUUAUCAUGUUUUAUGGAAUAUAUACAUCUACCUUGAUUUCCUCUUCCACCUUGAUGCAAAAUCGAGGUGACAGGGUGUUAAAAGGUUCUUAAGGGAAAGGCCAUCCAUGGUUGAAGAAGGGCAAUGGAUAUACCAUACACCCACCUAAAUGAGCAAAGGAAGAUUGAUGUAACAAUUAGCAGGGAGUUGCUAUAGGAUUCUAUGCAAUGAAGUGUUUCCACUACUUCAACAACAAAAUAAAUGAGGUGGGAACGAAGAUUGCUGCAUAAUUGAAAGAACAGAGGAAAUCUGAUUAUUCAGGAGCUGAAUAUGGUCAUUAAGUCUUCAUGCUCAACAAAAUCACCCCACUCUGUAAACCGGAAUUUGUAUGAAGCUAGGUUUCAAAUAUGUUAAUGAGAUAUGAGUACAUGCUGUUUUGUGUAGUAUCCUGGUAUUUGUAGGUAUUUUUAGUGGCGAUUUUAUAUGGUUAAUUUUACUUAAAAA